ACAAACUUGGUCAUUUAGAGGAAGUAAAAGUCGUAACAAGGUUUCCGUAGGUGAACCUGCGGAAGGAUCAUUACCAAUCUCUAGCGGGGGCCCUCAUGGUCUCGCGAAAUUAUUCUGUAUUUAAAACCCAACUCAUAAAAUUAAAUACACACUUUGUAUACGUUUACGAUAUACGUAAAUAAAGAUCACUUUCAACAACGGAUCUCUUGGCUCUCAGAGACAGACAAACUUGGUCAUUUAGAGGAAGUAAAAGUCGUAACAAGGUUUCCGUAGGUGAACCUGCGGAAGGAUCAUUACCAAUCUCUAGCGGGGGCCCUCAUGGUCUCGCGAAAUUAUUCUGUAUUUAAAACCCAACUCAUAAAAUUAAAUACACACUUUGUAUACGUUUACGAUAUACGUAAAUAAAGAUCACUUUCAACAACGGAUCUCUUGGCUCUCGCAUCGAUGAAGAACGCAGC
rnacentral:misc_RNA from 1 species